rnacentral:rRNA from 1 species
GACGAACGCUGGCGGCGUGCUUAACACAUGCAAGUCGAACGAAGUGGCGAACGGGUGAGUAACGCGUAAUCAACCUGCCCUUCAGAGGGGGACAACAGUUGGAAACGAAUGCUAAUACCGAAUACUGAAGGAGGGGAUUGCGUCUGAUUAGGUAGUUGGAGGGGUAACGGCCCACCAAGGCGAUGAUCAGUAGCCGGUCUGGGGGGAUGAGCGGCCACAAUGGGACCGGGAAACGGGCCAGACUCCUACGGGAGGCAGCAGUGGGGAAUCUUCCGCAAUGGAGGAAAGUCUGACGGAGCAACGCCGCGUGAGGGAUGGCGGCCUUCGGGUUUUAAAGCUCUGUUAAUCGGGACGCGGUACCUGAAUAGAAAGCCACGGCUAACUACGUGCCAGCAGCCGCGGUAAUUC